GAUUAACGCUGGCGGCGUGCAUAACACAUGCAAGUCGAACGAUGAAACUUAAAUGAUUUCUUCGGAAUGAACUUAAGUGGAUUAGUGGCGGACGGGUGAGUAACGCGUGAGUAACCUGCCUUACACAAGGGGAUAGCCGUUGGAAACGACGAAUAAUACCCUAUGAAACUAUCACUUCGCAUGAAGCGAUAGUCAAAGUGUUAGCGGUGUAAGAUGGACUUGCGUCUGAUUAGCUAGUUGGUGAGAAAAAAGCCCACCAAGGCAACGAUCAGUAGCCGGCUUGAGAGAGUGUACGGCCACAUUGGGACUGAGACACGGCCCAGACUCCUACGGGAGGCAGCAGUGGGGAAUUUUGCACAAUGGGGGAAACCCUGAUGCAGCGACGCCGCGUGAUUUAGAAGGCCUACGGGUUGUAAAAAUCUUUUGUAUAGGAAGAAAAUGACAGUACUAUACGAAUAAGGUCCGGCUAAUUACGUG
rnacentral:rRNA from 1 species